rnacentral:rRNA from 1 species
AUGCCGUUGUCUCAGGUUCGUGAGUUUUCAUCUCUGCACGAUAAGUUGAGAGAUGGCUGUGGUGUUGAGGGUGCUGCGUUGGAGCACGCUGAGCAUAUUUUAAGUAAUGUGUGUUCUGAGCUGCAAAAGGUCCCUACGACAGUUGAGAGUCUGAGCUGUAUCAAUGGUAUCCUUCCUGAACGUCAUCAGUUUAACGCUGAGGAAGCAGUGGACUAUAUUGAGAUGGAGAGAAUUUUUAUUGGUGAUAUGCAUAACGGUGCUGCUGAUCUAGUUCAGAGCUCGGUUCGUCUGUUGAAAAACAUGAAGCGUUUCAAAACUAUGCAGGACUCUCGUUGCAAGCCAUAUGAAGAAAGUGCAGAUGUUGUUAUCAGGCAGAUUGAGCAGGAUGAGGCUGCUGCCACUGACAGUAGGGCUGGUGAUGGUACCGAGGCUAAUGUUUCUGAUCAUGAAACGAAUGAUGUUGGAUUGGAGUGCCCUGUUGUUGAUAUUGAGCAGGAUGAGGCUGCUACCACUGACAACAGGGCUGAUGAUGGUACUGAGGCUAAUGUUUCUGAUCACCAUACGAACGAUGUUGGCUUGGAGCACCCUGUUGUUGAUGAGACCAGUCAUAAUGUUGAGGCUGCUGUUGACGGCGGAGUUAAUGAUCCAUCUACUGAUAAGUGCAAGGGUCCUGUUGUUGGCGACGAGCCUUGUUCGCCCGUUGGUGAUGUUCCUUUGAAUGUUAGCAGCAGCAAGAUCAAUGAUGUUGCUGUGAAUGCUUCUAAGAUAACUGAUGUUGAGAGUGAGGCUGUCGUUAGUGGUGGAGAUGAUGCUCGUGGUGUUCCAUUGAGUAGUGGGCGCGAUGUUGGUACCAAAGUUGCUGAUGAGGUUGUUGGUGCUGCCAGUAUACUUGAUGCCAAAUCGUCUGGUGUUGGUAUUGUUGGGAAUGAAAAUGUUUUUGAUUAUGAAGAUUUGUCGCCGGAGAAUUUCUCGCUUGGAGGUCUUGAUUAG